GUUUAAAAAUUACAAAAUUUUAUUUUUAGUAUUUUUUCCUAAUUUAUUUGUUAUUAGUAAUUUUUAUUAUAUUAAUUUGUUAAAUCUUUAAAUUUAACGUAUAAAAUUAGAAAAUUGGAUUUCUUAAUGGAUUUGAAAAAUACAGAAAAAACAUAUUCUAGACAAAUGGGUUGUUGUAGAUUUCAACCCAACAUACAUUUAACAAUGGACCGUGUAUUACCUGUGACUUUUAUUUGAUAAUAUGUGACCUUUUAGAAAACAAAAAUCAGUUUAGUCAAGCAAAUAAAAAAAUGGAAAAUUAGGUCUAAUAACCAAAAAAAAACGACAACUUUACCUUCUCCCCUUCUGUUAACGACUGCACCUAGAUGAAGAAAGAAUAACAAUCGAUUGGAGUCUGAUACAAAUGGAACACAUACCAGACAGAACUACAAUGAUCCUGAUCUAGCGAAACAAAGGGUAUAGAAGGACAAACCGUUUCAUAGGAGUAUCUAAAGACAGGAAACGAAAUGAAGCUGAGGCCGUGGUGGAAGAAAAUAUUGGUAAGUGUUGCUGGGAAUCCAUUGAUCUAGCCCACCUACAAUUUGUUCUGGAUAUUACAUGUUCAAGUCCUCUUCCCGUUUCUUUGAGCUUCUCAUCUGGGAUGAGGGUGUAAUUCUGAAUUUUUCUCAAUGCUCCGGCGGGUAGAAGUCUUCCCUUACUUUCCAUGUAUGUCUUCUUGCACAGGCAUGUAUCUUAUACCCUUUUCACAUUGGUAAAACAAAAUUAAAAAUAGUUAGAUUAGAUAAGCAGAUUGCGAUAUAAAAUACACAAUAAAACAUAAGGAUAAAUAACCAAAACUCACAUUCUC